AGGUUACACACGCAUAUGAAAUUGUGGUAGACCUGUGUAUUUGAACUUGUUAUCCAAAUCCCUGAAUCAUAAGGUCGCAUACCUAUAUGAACUUGCGUUCAGGCCUAUGCGUUUGAACUUGUUAUUCAAGCACUUAACCAUAAGGCUUAAUCUAACUUUCACCUGUGUACCCCACCGGUGUGUGUUUUUUUUCAAGUAUCCAGAAUACGUAAUUGCCAUUUCAUUGAUGCACUAACAGUAUUUAUCAAGCACUAGAGGGGUCCUCUCUGACAGCAUUAGACAAGUGCAGGAAGAGUGUGACAUCACUAUAGUACAGGAGAAAGGGAUUUCCCUAAGCAGAGAGCAGGGGUUUCUGAAACUCCGCUUGCAGACAACUAAGCAGCCGCCAUGGCAAUUCCCGAUGUGAGGGUGCACAACCAAUAGACCCCACGUGAUGCCACUGAGUGAAAAGCUUCUAGGAUGAAUGUUACUACCAAUGUUUCAAAACUCUCCUCACCCACAAAUGACAUUAUAAGAAUAGAGCACGUGUGCAGAGAGAUCCUCUGUAAAUAAAGAUUGUACAUUACUGCGGAAGGGAAGCAGCGUGUAACAUAUUACCAUAUUCCCCUUAUUACAUCAGACCAAGAAAGAAUGAAGAUGUUAGCUCCUUUCAUGCUACCAUUGCUGGUACUCUCAUCAGAGCUGGAUGACAACUUUCUAGCUACUCUCUUUCUCUUGAUGGAAACUUUCUCAUUAUCGGAGGAGUCAGAGGAAAUCCUCCUCUUCCAGACAAAACUGGGCAUGAUGUUCAUCUUUAUCUCUGCAGAUGUUGUAAUUAAUUGACUUGUCGCUGUCUACUUCUCUGGCUCUCUUCUGCAUCGCUGUCUACUGCACCACUGUCGUCUCCAAUAUGGCCGCCGGCUUCCUCUCUGGUCAACUGUCACUCUGGCACCAGCGGUUGAAUGUAGACAGCUUGGUUGCCAUGACGACAGCUGCCUAUAUCCCCGUGCUACAUACAUGUUGUAUGCUGGGUAUGUCUAUGUGCAUGUAACAUCAAUUGGGAGGCAUGUGUGAAAUUAACACUGGAUUAAAUAGGGGUUUCCUAAAUUAUGGGGUGGGAGUAAUUUUAUCAAUGCAGACUGCUUAGAAUAAAAUGUAUUUUAUUGAA